AAUCUUUAUCUCUUCCUCUUAUAUAUAAUAUAUUAUGUGGGCCUGUGCCCUGCUGCAGUAGUUUCCCACCUCUGCACUUUCAUGGCUACCUUACCCAUUCUUUGAGAAAAACUCAGAUCCUGAACUUACCAGUUGUAUUCAAAGAUGGGUUCUCAGAUUUGGCUAAGAGGGUUGUGUUUUUUGGUGUGCAUCUUUACCUGCAGCUUCUUUUCUGCGAGUUCACAAACCGUAGCUGGAAAUGGUAGUGUAGAAGGAACUGUUUUUAUAGAUGGGACAACUUCCAUUGGAAAGAUUGAUAA
rnacentral:misc_RNA from 1 species